rnacentral:lncRNA from 1 species
AUGUCAUUGAGGGACCCCAAAAUGUCAUUGAGGGACCCCAAAAACGCCCCAAAAUCUCCCCAAAAUGUCACUGAGGGACCCCAAAAAUCCCACCCGAGACCCCCAAGAACCUCCCCAGGACCCCCAAGUGUCACCGGGACCCCCAAAAAUCCCUCCAGGACCCCCCAAGCCCCGCCCCCCAGCCCGGCCCCGCCCUCACCUGGAUGCGCAGGUGCACGAAGGUUCCGGAACCCGCGGGAGCCCCCGCCCAGCCCGGCCCAGGCUCCGCCCCAGGGGGGAGGAGCUCCACAGACCCCGCCCCUGAGAGAGUCAGGAAGGCGGGGCCGAGCGGCUCCAGCCAAUCAGGAGCUGGCUCCGGGAACUGCAGCAGCACUGCGGGGGAAACCACGCCCACAACAUGGCUGCCACCAUGGGGGACACCAUCUUGGGGCAGGGAGGGGCAUGCUGGGAUAUGGACACACACACACACACACACACACACACCCCCCCCCAAGGCAUGCUGGGAAUUGUAGUUCCUGCCCAUGGCAGCCAUCUUGGCUCCCCCAAGACAUGCUGGGAUUUGUAGUUUAUGUAUGAUCAGCCAUUUCAGUUCCCUGCAAAGCAUGCUGGGAUUUGUAGUCUGUGAUGGAUCAGCCAUGUUGACUUCCCCCAAAGCAUGCCGGGAUUUGUAGUCCAUCUUUGAGCAGCCAUUUUUUCUCUCCCAAAGCAUGCUGAGAUUUGUAGUUUAAAUCUGAUCAGCCAUCUCGGCUCUCCCAAGGCAUGCUGGGAUUUGUAAUGUGACUGAUCUGCCAUCUUGUCUCUCUAAAAGCAUGCUGGGAUUUACAAUCUGUGACUCAUCCACCAUCUUGGCUUCCCCUAAAGCAUGCUGGGAUUUGUAGUCCAUGCAUCAUCAGCCAUUUUUCCUCUCCCAAGGCAUGCUGGGACUUGUAGCUUUUAUCCACUCAGCCAUUUUGUCUCCCACAAAGCAUGCUGGGAUUUGUAGUCCCCAUACAAUCAAACAUUUUGGUUUAACCCAAAGCAUGCUGGGAUUUGUAGUUUAUAUCUGGUCAGCCAUUUUGUCUCCCCCAAGGCCUGCUGGGAUUUGUAGUCCCUCGUCCCCCCCCCAGGGCUCACCUGGGGGUCGGGCCGACCCCCUGACCCGGAAGUUCUCGCGCAGCCCCCGCACGGCCCGGACCAGCUCCAGCAUGGCCGACACCUGAGCCUCGAGCUCGGGGCAGCGCCAGUGGGACUGGGGAGGGGGAGAUGGGGGUGAGACCCCCGGGAACCCCCAAAAAACAUCGAAAAUGUACCCCAGGAACCCCAAAAAACACCCAAAAUCUACCCAGG